rnacentral:rRNA from 1 species
GACGGGAGGUGCAAGCGUUGCUCGGAAUCACUGGGCGUAAAGGGUGCGUAGGCGGCUUCUUAAGUCUGGUGUGAAAGCCCAGGGCUCAGCUCUGGAAGUGCACUAGAAACUGGGAAGCUUGAGUACCGGAGGGGAGAGUGGAAUUCCUGGUGUAGCGGUGAAAUGCGUAGAUAUCGUGAGGAAUACCAAGUGCGAAGGCAGGACUCUGGACAUUUUCUGACGCUGAGACACGAAGGCCAGGGGAGCAAACGGG